GAUGAACGCUGGCGGCAUGCCUUACACAUGCAAGUCGAACGGCAGCACGGGUGCUUGCACCUGGUGGCGAGUGGCGAACGGGUGAGUAAUAUAUCGGAACGUACCUUAUUGUGGGGGAUAACGCAGCGAAAGCUGUGCUAAUACCGCAUAAUCCCUAAGGGGGAAAGCGGGGGACCGUAAGGCCUCGCGCAAUUAGAGCGGCCGAUACCUGAUUAGCUAGUUGGUGAGGUAAAGGCUCACCAGGGCAACGAUCAGUAGCUGGUCUGAGAGGACGAUCAGCCACACUGGGACUGAGACACGGCCCAGACUCCUACGGGAGGCAGCAGUGGGGAAUUUUGGACAAUGGGGGCAACCCUGAUCCAGCAAUGCCGCGUGAGUGAAGAAGGCCUUCGGGUUGUAAAGCUCUUUUGUCAGGGAAGAAACAGCAGCUCUAACACAGUAUGCGAAUGACGGUACCUGAAGAAUAAGCACCGGCUAACUACGUGCCAGCCGCCGCAGUAA
rnacentral:rRNA from 1 species